rnacentral:lncRNA from 10 species
AUACCAGUCUGGCAGCAUGUAUGAAAAGAACGGUGAGAGAAGCUGUUUUAUGCAUUUCUAAAGGAAGCAGAGAAGUAAGAGCUUGGUAUUUUUCAAAUGGAACUCAAAGGUCUUUGCAGCCUGGGCUCGGCACUGGGCUGAGAGCCGUCAGAGGAGCUGCUGCAGGGGUGGCUGCCAUUCCUCAACCCGAUUCUAUCGUUAUUAUUUACAUUCUAUGUCUUCUCUUUCAAGAUUAUUUUUUUGACAUUUGCCUUCUGGCAGAGCUGGGACCAAUGAGUGGGAGGUGGAUUUUGGCGGAACACAGGAGGAAUUCUCUUAGUCAGAGCCAUCCAAAAAUGGAAAGACCUGACUCAGAAGACAGCGUGUCCCCUGCCUGCAUAAGGUCCUGGUGAGGUCCUGUCAAGGGUGCUCUGCCCUGUGCUUUGACAGGUGUGUGCGGAGAUGAAAGAUGAGGAUGUCAAGACUUGGAGUAGGUGACAGUUGGCCUUGGGCUUCGGUGGCCAACCCAUGACUACAAAAGCCCGAGAAGCCAGCAGCUUCCCCGGCUCCUCCACCAAGUGGCCUCUGGGUGAUGGGGAAGCUUGUCCUCUGCUUUGUCACACACAAAACUCUAAAAGUCAGCAUCCCAACGCAUCGGCCUGGAGAGCCCGUCCAGGAGGAUUUAUGUGGAAUCUGGCUUUUCUGAUAGCAUCGACGUUCCUUCCCGUGCCUUCUGAGUCUGUUUCUCUUAAUUUGACUGUGGUCUCUGCUCUUCGCUGGACUCAGGGAGAUGUCACAAAUUCUGCACCAGAAUCUCACAAAUCACAAAGAACUUACUCAUGUAACGAAACACCACCUGUUUCCCAGUAACUAUGGAAAUAAAAAAAAAUUAAUAAUAAAAAAUUUAAAAAAUAAAA